rnacentral:rRNA from 1 species
CGUGCAGCCGGGAAGACAAGUCAGAUGUGAAAUCCCGCGGCUCAACCGCGGAACUGCAUUUGAAAUUGUUUUUCUUGAGUACCGGAGAGGUCAUCGGAAUUCCUUGUGUAGCGGUGAAAUGCGUAGAUAUAAGGAAGAACACCAGUGGCGAAGGCGGAUGACUGGACGGCAACUGACGGUGAGGCGCGAAAGCGUGGGGGAGCAAACAGG